rnacentral:rRNA from 1 species
GACGAACGCUGGCGGCGUGCCUAAUACAUGCAAGUCGAACGCAGUUGCGAACGGGGGAGUAACGCGUAGGUAACUGCCUUAUAGGGGGGGAAUACUUUUGGAAACGUUUGCUAAUACCGGAUUCUUGGGGAUGGGCCUGCGUUGUUUUAGGUAGUGGGUGAGGUAAAGGCUCACCAAGGCGACGAUCCAUAGCCAGCCUGAGAGGGUGACCGGCCACACUGGGACUGAGACACGGCCCAGACUCCUACGGGAGGCAGCAGUAGGGAAUCUUGCGGAAUGGGCGGAAGUCUGACCGAGCAAUGCCGCGUGAGUGAAGAAGGUUUUCGGGUCGUAAAGCUCUGUUGUUAGAGAAGCGGUAACUAACCAGAAAGACACGGCUAACUACGUGCCAGCAGCCGCGGUAAUUC